AUUGAACGCUGGCGGCAUGCUUUACACAUGCAAGUCGGACGGCAGCACAGAGAAGCUUGCUUCUUGGGUGGCGAGUGGCGAACGGGUGAGUAAUAUAUCGGAACGUACCGAGUAAUGGGGGAUAACUAAUCGAAAGAUUAGCUAAUACCGCAUAUUCUCUGAGGAGGAAAGCAGGGGACCUUCGGGCCUUGCGUUAUUCGAGCGGCCGAUAUCUGAUUAGCUAGUUGGUGGGGUAAAGGCCUACCAAGGCGACGAUCAGUAGCGGGUCUGAAAGGAUGAUCCGCCACACUGGGACUGAGACACGGCCCAGACUCCUACGGGAGGCAGCAGUGGGGAAUUUUGGACAAUAGGCGCAAGCCUGAUCCAGCCAUGCCGCGUGUCUGAAGAAGGCCUUCGGGUUGUAAAGGACUUUUGUCAGGGAAGAAAAGGCUGUUGCUAAUACCGACAGCUGAUGACGGUACCUGAAGAAUAAGCACCGGCUAACUACGU
rnacentral:rRNA from 1 species